ACUGACAAGUAGAUACUGCGACAGUAGUCGAAGUUAGUACGAGAGGAACACUUCGUCCAGAUACUUGGUUAAUGCCGUUGUCUGAAAAGACAGUACGGCGAAGCUACCAUCUGCUGGAUUACGGCUGAACGCCUCUAAGCCGGAAUCCAUGCUGGAUAAGCAGUGUUGUACACCGUGCUCAAUGCUACAAGAAAAAGGCUAGGUCAGGCUUCGGCCUGACCAAAAUUCAAGCUGCUAUACCUCUGGCUGCAUUGACUUGUGGUCAGAGUGUAUGGUGAUCAUAGCAAUUGCAAGUAUUGGGCUCGAUAAAUCCUUUGAAGACGACUUAAUUGCAUCCGGGUAUUGUAAGUGUUGAGAGUAGGCUUAGUCUUACGAUCCACUGAGAUUCAUCCCGUGUUGCGCCGAUUUGU
rnacentral:ncRNA from 1 species